rnacentral:rRNA from 1 species
UACGUAGGGCGCAAGCGUUGUCCGGAAUUAUUGGGCGUAAAGAGCUCGUAGGCGGCUUGUCACGUCGGGUGUGAAAGCCCGGGGCUUAACCCCGGGUCUGCAUUCGAUACGGGCUAGCUAGAGUGUGGUAGGGGAGAUCGGAAUUCCUGGUGUAGCGGUGAAAUGCGCAGAUAUCGGGAGGAACACCGGUGGCGAAGGCGGUUCUCUGGGCCUUACCUGACACUGAGGAGCGAAAGCGUGGGGAGCGAACAGG